GACGGAGGAUGCAAGUGUUAUCCGGAAUCACUGGGCGUAAAGCGUCUGUAGGUGGUUUAAUAAGUCAACUGUUAAAUCUUGAGGCUCAACCUCAAAAUCGCAGUCGAAACUAUUAGGCUAGAGUAUAGUAGGGGUAAAGGGAAUUUCCAGUGGAGCGGUGAAAUGCGUAGAGAUUGGGAAGAACACCGAUGGCGAAGGCACUUUACUGGGCUAUUACUAACACUCAGAGACGAAAGCUAGGGUAGCAAAUGGG
rnacentral:rRNA from 1 species